rnacentral:rRNA from 1 species
GGAAUUCGUGGUGUAGCGGUGAAAUGCUUAGAUAUCACGAAGAACUCCGAUUGCGAAGGCAGCUCACUAGACUGUAACUGACACUGAUGCUCGAAAGUGUGGGUAUCAAACAGGAUUAGAUACCCUGGUAGUCCACACGGUAAACGAUGAAUACUCGCUGUUUGCGAUAUACAGCAAGCGGCCAAGCGAAAGCGUUAAGUAUUCCACCUGGGGAGUACGCCGGCAACGGUGAAACUCAAAGGAAUUGACGGGGGCCCGCACAAGCGGAGGAACAUGUGGUUUAAUUCGAUGAUACGCGAGGAACCUUACCCGGGCUUAAAUUGCAGAUGAAUUACGGUGAAAGCCGUAAGCCGCAAGGCAUCUGUGAAGGUGCUGCAUGGUUGUCGUCAGCUCGUGCCGUGAGGUGUCGGCUUAAGUGCCAUAACGAGCGCAACCCUUGUUGUCAGUUACUAACAGGUUACGCUGAGGACUCUGACAAGACUGCCAUCGUAAGAUGUGAGGAAGGUGGGGAUGACGUCAAAUCAGCACGGCCCUUACGUCCGGGGCUACACACGUGUUACAAUGGGGGGUACAGAAGGCGGCUACCUGGUGACAGGAUGCUAAUCCCAAAAACCUCUCUCAGUUCGGAUCGAAGUCUGCAACCCGACUUCGUGAAGCUGGAUUCGCUAGUAAUCGCGCAUCAGCCACGGCGCGGUGAAUACGUUCCCGGGCCUUGUACACACCGCCCGUCAAGCCAUGGGAGCCGGGGGUACCUGAAGUGCGUAACCGCGAGGAGCGCCCUAGGGUAAAACUGGUGACUGGGGCUAAGUCGUAACAAGGUAGCCGUACCGGAAGGUGCGGCUG